rnacentral:lncRNA from 1 species
GGAAAGGAGUGAAUAAUUUUCAAAGAAGUGAAGGAUUUUUUUUUUUAAGUUCAUUUUGCAACUUGGAAUUUCUGCGGCCAUGAGGAAGUCUGUAAGUCCCAGAAAAGGAUGGCUAGAAGGCCUUGCUGUUAUUGGAUGUGCUGCUCUCCAAAAGAGAUGGGUUCUAGCAGGUGUUGGGAUCCUAAGAGGUCUUCUAGUCACCUCUCCAGCAACUCCACAGAAGCUGACCAUCUGGCUGCUGCUUUGCUAUUUGUGACUCCAUAAGAGAACUCCUUGGUCAAGUGAUGCCCAUCUCCAAUCUGGAUUCAGAAGAGGAGAGCACAACCCUGCCUCUUCCCAUUCUGUCUCCCAGCACCUAUAUGUUUCUCCAACUAAUAGCACUUCCCUGGGUGUUUAUCGAACUGUAUUGAAGGAAAC